UACGUAGGGUGCAAGCGUUAAUCGGAAUUACUGGGGCGUAAAGCGUGCGCAGGCGGUGAUGUAAGACAGAUGUGAAAUCCCCGGGCUCAACCUGGGAACUGCAUUUGUGACUGCAUCGCUGGAGUGCGGCAGAGGGGGAUGGAAUUCCGCGUGUAGCAGUGAAAUGCGUAGAUAUGCGGAGGAACACCGAUGGCGAAGGCAAUCCCCUGGGCCUGCACUGACGCUCAUGCACGAAAGCGUGGGGGAGCAAACAGG
rnacentral:rRNA from 1 species